rnacentral:lncRNA from 1 species
GGAAUAAUAUAUUAUUUGGUUUUGAAUGUUCUAAAAUAUGCAUGAGAUAAGCGGUAUGACGGCAGACAAAAUAAAAAAAAAAAAAAUAGUAAGAACAAUAUAUUUGAAAUCAUAUCAAGAGAAGCUUAAGUAAGUGAGAUAGUGAUCAUACAUACAAAUCCAGAGAAGGAUACAUCAAAAAUGAUCUUCUCUUUUUUUAGUAAAAACAUUAUUCAGAAACGGACACACAACAGAAAGAAAUUGACCCCAAAAAGAUUAAUCAAAUAGAGAUUUGUAUUCUCUCUUUGAAGACGCUUUCUCAUCACUCCUUUGUCUCUCCGUCCUUGUGUUUCCCCUUCUUUGGCUCAACGAAACAGAAGCAUGAACAACAAGGCAGCUGAAACAAAAACUUCAUCGUGAUUUGGAAUUGGCUCAACAGUACUACUUCGAUAUAUAUGCCUUUUAUAUUUAAUAUUAUGCCUUUGUUCUUCCAGUUUCAGAAUGAUUUUUGGGUUUCCUUUAUUCGUUUCAGAUUUUUGGAUGCUUUGCCAACCAAGUUGAUUCUCCCUUGAAAAGAAGAUGCCUCAUUCUAGCUACCACUUAUUUGGGGCAGAAUCAUAAUUUUGUAAAUUGAAAAUGAUUUUGCACAUCAGGAUGCCUUUUUCAGAGGGCUAGAUUUAUAUAUUUAUGUACUAUAUUUAUUUAAUAAAUUAUCAUAGUAAUCUUGUUUUCAUUAGGUUAGAGUUUCCAGGGUUUCAUGCUUUCAUGUGUUU